rnacentral:rRNA from 1 species
GAUGAACGCUGGCGGCGUGCUUAACACAUGCAAGUCGAACGAAGCACUUUAUUUGAUUUCCUUCGGGACUGAUUAUUUUGUGACUGAGUGGCGGACGGGUGAGUAACGCGUGGGUAACCUGCCUUGUACAGGGGGAUAACAGUUGGAAACGGCUGCUAAUACCGCAUAAGCGCACAGCAUCGCAUGAUGCAGUGUGAAAAACUCCGGUGGUAUAAGAUGGACCCGCGUUGGAUUAGCUUGUUGGUGAGGUAACGGCACACCAAGGCGACGAUCCAUAGCCGACCUGAGAGGGUGACCGGCCACAUUGGGACUGAGACACGGCCCAAACUCCUACGGGAGGCAGCAGUGGGGAAUAUUGCACAAUGGGCGAAAGCCUGAUGCAGCGACGCCGCGUGAGCGAAGAAGUAUUUCGGUAUGUAAAGCUCUAUCAGCAGGGAAGAUAAUGACGGUACCUGACUAAGAAGCACCGGCUAAAUACGUG